rnacentral:rRNA from 1 species
UACGACUGGUGCACGCGUUAAUCGGAAUUACUGGGCGUAAAGCGCGCGUAGGUGGUUUGUUAAGUUGGAUGUGAAAGCCCCGGGCUCAACCUGGGAACUGCAUCCAAAACUGGCAAGCUAGAGUAUGGCAGAGGGUGGUGGAAUUUCCUGUGUAGCGGUGAAAUGCGUAGAUAUAGGAAGGAACACCAGUGGCGAAGGCGACCACCUGGGCUAAUACUGACACUGAGGUGCGAAAGCGUGGGGAGCAAACAGGAUGAGAUAACCGUGUAGUCC